AAAUCCGGUACUCGUUAAGGCUGAGCUGUGAUGGGGAGAAGACAUUGUGUCUUCGAGUCGUUGAUUUCACACUGCCGAGAAAAGCCUCUAGAUAGAAAAUAGGUGCCCGUACCGCAAACCGACACAGGUAGUCAAGAUGAGAAUUCUAAGGUGAGCGAGCGAACUCUCGUUAAGGAACUCGGCAAAAUGACCCCGUAACUUCGGGAGAAGGGGUGCUCUUUAGGGUUAACGCCCAGAAGAGCCGCAGUGAAUAGGCCCAAGCGACUGUUUAUCAAAAACACAGGUCUCUGCUAAACCGUAAGGUGAUGUAUAGGGGCUGACGCCUGCCCGGUGCUGGAAGGUUAAGAGGAGUGGUUAGCUUCUGCGAAGCUACGAAUCGAAGCCCCAGUAAACGGCGGCCGUAACUAUAACGGUCCUAAGGUAGCGAAAUUCCUUGUCGGGUAAGUUCCGACCCGCACGAAAGGCGUAACGAUUUGGGCACUGUCUCAACGAGAGACUCGGUGAAAUCAUAGUACCUGUGAAGAUGCAGGUUACCCGCGACAGGACGGAAAGACCCCGUGGAGCUUUACUGUAGCCUGAUAUUGAAAUUCGGCACAGCUUGUACAGGAUAGGUAGGAGCCUUUGAAACGUGAGCGCUAGCUUACGUGGAGGCGCUGGUGGGAUACUACCCUAGCUGUGUUGGCUUUCUAACCCGCACCACUUAUCGUGGUGGGAGACAGUGUCAGGCGGGCAGUUUGACUGGGGCGGUCGCCUCCUAAAAGGUAACGGAGGCGCUCAAAGGUUCCCUCAGAAUGGUUGGAAAUCAUUCAUAGAGUGUAAAGGCAUAAGGGAGCUUGACUGCGAGACCUACAAGUCGAGCAGGGUCGAAAGACGGACUUAGUGAUCCGGUGGUUCCGCAUGGAAGGGCCAUCGCUCAACGGAUAAAAGCUACCCCGGGGAUAACAGGCUUAUCUCCCCCAAGAGUUCACAUCGACGGGGAGGUUUGGCACCUCGAUGUCGGCUCAUCGCAUCCUGGGGCUGUAGUCGGUCCCAAGGGUUGGGCUGUUCGCCCAUUAAAGCGGUACGCGAGCUGGGUUCAGAACGUCGUGAGACAGUUCGGUCCCUAUCCGUCGUGGGCGUAGGAAAUUUGAGAGGAGCUGUCCUUAGUACGAGAGGACCGGGAUGGACAUACCUCUGGUGUACCAGUUGUCGUGCCAACGGCAUAGCUGGGUAGCUAUGUGUGGACGGGAUAAGUGCUGAAAGCAUCUAAGCAUGAAGCCCCCCUCAAGAUGAGAUUUCCCAACUUCGGUUAUAAGAUCCCUCAAAGAUGAUGAGGUUAAUAGGUUCGAGGUGGAAGCAUGGUGACAUGUGGAGCUGA
rnacentral:rRNA from 1 species